GUAGGUGGCAAGCGUUGUCCGGAUUUACUGGGGCGUAAAGGGCGUGUAGGGCGGGUACGUUAAGUCCGGUGUGAAAUCUCCCGGCUCAACUGGGAUAGGUCAUCGGAUACUGGCGCACUAGAGGGGGGCAAAGGAAGGCGGAAUUCCCGGUGUAGCGGUGGAAUGCGUAGAUAUCGGGAGGAACACCAGUGGCGAAGGCGGCCUUCUGGGCCCACCCUGACGCUGAGGCGCGAAAGCGUGGGGAGCAAACCGGAUUAGAUACCCGGGUAGUCCACGCCCUAAACGUUGGAUGCUAGGUGUGGGGGGUGUCGACCCCCUCUGUGCCGUAGCUAACGCUUUAAGCAUCCCGCCUGGGGAGUACGGCCGCAAGGCUA
rnacentral:rRNA from 1 species